rnacentral:lncRNA from 1 species
CCAAACAUCCCUGGACUAGAAGUUGCAGGGGAAAUCAAACAGCCCAGAAAGUUUAUUCUCCUUGCUGGUAUUUCUUCCACUUGCUAUUUUGCUGAGAGAUGCAUGCAAACUACCCUUAGACUUUCAGAUGCAGUGCGUUUUACUUAGCCGUGCCUGACAAACACACAGAACUUUUACCGUCUGGUAGAUCCGCCUUGACUUUACCAGCGAAUACUAAAGUCACUUAAAAAAAAAUCACAAGGCUCGAAAACAGCAGCAUUAGAAGUAGACUUUAUGGUACUCUGCUCAGCUAUGUUCUCAUUUGAUUCCAACCACUACACGGCAGAAAAGACUGAUGAGCUUCUCUGUGCAAGGGUGCCUUUUUGGAGCAAUGUCCCCAUUCGGUCCAUUGAUAUGAACCACUUCAUUGAAUGUCUUAGACGAUGUGCCUGCUUCCCCUUCCGCUAUGAUUGUAAGUUUCCUGAGGCCUCCUCAGCCAUGCAGAACUGAAAGAAGACUGAAUAAUGAUUGGAAGAACGCCGGAGUCAUCAAGCUCUUUUGAUAACUGCAUAUGUGAACUAGGUCAAGUCACUCUCCCUCAACGGAUCACCAGUUUACCCAACUGUAAAUGGCAACAAUUUUGAACUGAACGUUCUUCCUUCUACAGCCAAAAUUCUUCGUUUGCUAGGUUUGUGAAGUGCUUUUAUAUGUAUGAGCGCUUUCUUAACUAUGAAGAUAUCUGAGUCAUCGAACUUUUGGUGGGGGCAAUCUCAUGAUCAGUCAUGACUAGAUUUUAGAGUUUUCUCAUCCCCAUACUCAAAGUUUUUUUUUUAAGAAUAAAAAUGAAAAGAAACAAUACCCCACAAUAUUUCUGAGCCUCAAAGGACAGACUAAAAAAGCUAACUUUUAAAAUACUUCAUUUUGAAAUAAUUUUGAACUUACAAAAAAAUCGCAAAAAUAAUACCUGGAGUCCCUGUAUACCCUUCACCCAGAUUCCCCUACUGUUAAAUACUUACAUAACCAUAACACAAUUACCAAAACCAGGAAAUUAACACUGGUACGAGACUCUUAACAAGAGAUCUUAUUUGAAUGUCACCAAUUUUCUUCCUAAUGUUCUUCUGUUCUAGGAUCCAAUCCAGGUUCCCACAUGGCAUUUAUUCCUCACUUCUCCUUAGUCUCCUCCAAUCUGUGACACUUUCUAAGUCUUUCCUUGUCUUUCAUGACCAUGACACUUUGGAUGAGUACUGGUCAUUUAUUCUGUAAAAUGCCUCUCACUUUGUGUUUGUUGAAUGUUUUCUCAUGAUUAGACCGAGACCAUGUCUUUUUGGCAGGAACAUCACAGAAAUGGUGUGUAUCCUAUCUGAGGGUAUGUGAUAUUGAUAUAUCUUAUCACUCAUUAUGUUAACCUUAAACACCUGGUUAAAGUGGCAUCUGCUGGGUUUCUCCACUGUAAAGUGACUAUUUUCCCUUUAUUUAUUUAUUUUAGAAACAGGGUCUUGCUGUGUUGCCCAGGCUGGAGUGCAGUGGCACAAUCACUGCUCACUGCAGCCUCAAUCUCCCAGGCUCAAGCGAUCCUCUGCCUCCUGAGUAGCUGGGACUACAGGCAUGCACCAUUAUGCCCAGUUAAUUUUUUUAAAAAUGUUUUGUAUAGACAGGGUCUCGCUAUAUUGCCCAGGCUGGUCUCAAACUCCUGGCCUCAAAAGAUCCUCCCACCUCGGCCUCCCAAAGUGCUGGGAUUAAAGGCAUGAGCCAGCCACCAUGCCUGGUCUAUUUUUUAUUGAUAAAUGAAAUAGACCAUGCCUGUUCUAUUUUUAAUUGAUAAAUAUCCUGGGAGAAAUACUUUGGGACAAUGCAAAUAUCCUGUUUCUCCUCCAACUUUUACCCACUGAUUUCAGCAUAUAUCAGUGGAUCUUGCCUGCAACCAUUAUUACCAUGGCAUUUGCCUACUAGUGAUUUUGUGUUUCCUUCAUUUGUUCUCCAUUUAUUAAUUGGAAUUCUUCUGUAAGGAGGAGUUGUCCCUUCUCCCCAACUUAUCCAUUUAUUCAAUUUUUUUUGUAAACUAUGGACUCAUGGGCAUCUAUUUUAUUCUAUGAGCUAUAAUUCAAUACUGUCAUCAUUUAGUUUCUUGCUCAAGUUAUUCUAACUUCAGCCAUUGGGAGCUCCUUCAGACUGGCUACUAUGCUGUCUUGUCAUGCCCCCACCCUUUCUCUAGCACUUUCUUACAUUCUUACACCAAAAGACAUUACAGCCUCAUCUUGUAUUUUCCCUGCUUCUGUCCAGAAUUAGCCAUUAUUCCAAAGAUCCCGAGUUCCUUUAUUGGAGAAUGAUAUUAGACACAAAGAUGUGGGUACUAAGUAUACUCGUUGCUGUUGGGGUGUUAAUUGCUUCUAGGGCUUCCCAAGACAGAGCUAGGAAAUGAAAGCAUACAUAAUAACCCAUGCAUACACACAGAUCAAUAUCUAUUCCUGUAUCUAUCUGUAUACAUACUCAUGUGUCCUUUCUAAUCCACACCACGGUAUUCAUCCUAACCUUCCCUUUUUAUUUUUAACUUUUUUCCUCUGAUAGUGAGAAAAUAGGCUCUCAUUAUCUACUCUAUAUACAUUUAUUUGUUCAACCUCAGUAUCUACAUACUUACAUAUGCCUGUGAGGAACAGAUUUACUAACUAGAAUCCUGUAUUUGUGUGCAAUUCUUUUUAUCUUUAUUAUAAAUAUAGCACCUCCAGGCUUCUUUUUAUUAGUGUCAGCAUGACAUAGCUUUUCCCAUCUUUUUACUGUUAAUAUUUUAAACUCAAAAAAAGCAAGGAGGAAAACAGUAUGCUACUAUCUGUGUGAAAAUGGAAAAUAAGUAUGGAUAUAUUUGCUCAUAUGUAUAUAUAUAAUAUCUAUGGGAGAGGGAAAACCAAAAUAUCAGUUUGGAGGUCAACUGAUUAACUGGGGAAAAGAGAUGAGGGGAAAACUUCGCUGCAUACUCUACUAUCGUUGAAAUUUCUUAAACUUUUUCAUUGAGUAUAAUUCACAAAUCAUAAAACUCACCCUUUUAAAGUCUACACAUCAGUAGUUUUUAACACAUUUAUAUACAAAGUUGUGUAACUAUCAUCACUAAUUCCAGGACAUUUUCAUCACCCUUAAAAAAAAAGCCAUGUACCCAUUAGUAGUUAAUUCCCAUACCCCUCACCCCUCACUCACCCAUCUACUGCCCUUCACAAGACCCUGGCAACCACUAAUCUGCUUUCUGUCUCUAUGGAUUUGCCAACUCUUGAUGUUUCAUAUAAAUGGAAUCACACAAUAUGUGACCUUUUAUGUCUGGCUUCUUUCACUUAACAUCAUGUUUUUAAGGUUCAUCCAUGUUGUAGCAUGGAUCAGUACUUUGUUCCUUUUUGUAGCUGAGUAAUAUUACAUUGUAUGUAUAUACCAUAUUUUGUUGAUGUACUCAUUAGUUGACUGUUUUUCUAAAUUUUUGAAUUAUGAAAAUAUCCAUUCAAAAAUUAAACUUUAAAAAAUAGAAA